AAAUAACUGCUAAAAUAUAGAUGAAUUAAUAUAUUAAAUAUAAGAUUAAUUAAGGCUAAAAACAAUCAAAUAACUUAAAAUAGAGAGUACACUUAGCAAAUUAGAGUUAAAAAAUAAAAAUCCCUGUAAAAAAAAGCAUUAAAAAAGGAAAAAAAAUUAAGAAUAGCAAGCAAUUAGCAGGUACAUUCAUUGCGUGACAUUUGAACAUCCAUAUGGGUGAUUAGCUUUUAUUUGUUUUUGUAACCAAUAAAUGAGUUUUUAUUAUGAAACCGAAAAGGGAAAAAGCUUUUAGAAGACCGGGUCAAAACCGGAUCGGGUCAUCAGUUCCUGAACCGGGCCGAAAACCUUCUCAGGUUCGCAGAAAAGCGACGAUUCCGGUGAUCCACCGCUUUUCCUCGGCGUGCCGCCCGAUCCGCCGUAGUUUCCGAUCUUCAACCAGCUCCAGAUCGGUAGUGGCUUGUUGAAUCGCAAGAUCGUACGAUUUUGGGUGUUAUAUCGCGCGUUUAACAACCUUGGUUCAGAGUGAUCAUUGAAUUUUAUAGCUGAAACCAUUUCUAGAAUUUUCAAUGAUACAGUCGAUGCAUUUAUAUGAUGCAUCAAUCAAACUUGUAUCAUGCAGUUUGAUUUUGCUCCUUAAGGAGGGAAUGACGUGACCUCUUAAAUUUAAGCAUGUUAAUUUGUCUAAUCAGUAAAACCCCGCAGCUUAUAUUAAGGUGUCUGGCGCCAUGUUAGUAGAUAUCCGAAAAUGUACUUCUAAUUGAAGUUGUCUUUUGUUGACUUUUGGUAGGCUCUUUGAGUGUCUUCUUUCAUAUCUGCCAUUGUAAUCAUGCUUGUAGAUAUCCGAAACUGUACUUAUAAUUGAAAUUGUCUUUUGUUGACUUUUGGUAAGCUCUGUGAAUGUCUUCUUUCAUAUUUGCCAUUGUAGUGUACUGUAGUAAACAUUCCAAUUAUCUUUUGGUUGAUAUGCUCAAUGGGAUCUUAUGUGUUGAUUUUGGUAUUUUCUUAUGUUAUUACUCCCUCCGUUCCUUUUUAAGUGUCACUUUUGGAGAAAUUUUUUGUUUCUAUUUAACCGUCACUUUCAAAGGGUCAAUGCAACAUUAAAUGUUGUUUUAUCAAUAUUACCCUUAGUUAUUUAUUAUGGAGAGAUAAAUAUAUGAAAUGUAAUAUUAAAUGAAUAAGGUUAUUAUAGUAAAAGUAUAAAUUAUUGUAUCAAAAGUAGUAACAUUUAUUGAUUGUCUUGGUUUGUAUAAAAUGUCAAAAAGUGACAAUCAAAAGUGACAUUUAUUGAUUCUCGUACUCAGUGGUGUUUUGACAUUCAUGAUCGACUUCGAUAGAAAUUUGUAUUGACUAAUGUCUAUUGUUAGUAGGCAUCGUGAUGACUACAAAGAAAAGGAUUACAGGAGGAGAAGUCGCAGCAGGAGUUAUGAUAGGCAUGAACGUGACAGGCACCGUGGGAGAGAUAGGGACCAUCGUCGCCGAAGCAGAAGCCGUAGUGCUAGUCCUGGUUACAAGGGCCGUGGAAGGGGGCGCCAUGAUGAUGAGCGUCGUAGUAGAAGCCCAAGCAGAUCAGUGGACAGGUCUUCAUUCAUUGACACUUGAGCUUUUCAGCUGUGAUUUUUCACCACCAUAAUCACUGUUAUUUGAGCCUUUUUUGUUAUUCUUCACAGCCGCUCCCCAGUGCGACGCAGUUCUAUUCCUAAAAGGAGCCCGUCUCCAAAGAGGAGCCCUUCUCCAAAGAGAAGCCCUUCUCUGAAGAGGAGCAUAUCCCCCCAAAAGAGUGUUUCCCCCAGGAAAAGUCCACUCCGUGAAAGUCCUGAUAAUCGUAGCCGUGGUGGAAGGUCUCUUACGCCUCGCAGUGUCUCACCACGAGGUCGUCCUGGUGCUUCUCGAAGCCCCUCUCCUCGAAAUUCAAAUGGUGAUGUAAGUAAAGUAAUGUUAUUCUUGAACUUAAUUAUGGAUCAAAAAGCCAUCUUCGCUAUCAAAGAGGCAUUUUUUUUAACCUUUUGUAACCAUUCAAUUCUAUUACAUUUGCAGGAAUAAGCUUUUCUUCAUGAAGUAUUCCAGAGACACCUCGACUAGUGUACCUGCUGCUGUGUUUGAUAAUAUUGGAUGAUUUGGUCAAUGUGAAUGAUCUUAUCAGAAUUUUGGGAAGAUUUUAUGAUCUAAGUGCAGUUUGGUAGGGUUGGAUUUCCUUUGAUGUUUGAAUGUUUCUCUAUUUUGACAUUUAUGUUGUUUACUUCGAAGUUCGGUAGCAUCUGGACCUUGUAGUUGCUAGGUUAAUAUUUCAGUACGAGGGAUUUUGCCAUUUUAGCUAGCUUUAUUUUAUUGUGUUUGCAUUUAUCUCUCCCUGCUUCUACAUUUUCAUUUCCUUUGUUAUAGGCAGGAUGGUUGUGAUCUAUCUAGGUAAAGCUGAAUUAACAACUUAUUGGGUUUUAUAGUUGUGAUCGGGAAAAGUGAUUGGGGCCUGAUAGGCGCAUGUUGAUAUUGUUGCUGUUGAUGCUGUUGUUUCUAAGUCAUCGAUGAUAGUUCGUGAGUUUGAUGCCGUUUCUAUGUCAUUGAUGAUAGUUCGUGAGUUUGAUGCUGUUUCUAUGUCAUUGAUGAUAGUUCGUGAGUUUGAUGCUGGUUUCAAGAACUAUGCUGAUUUUAGGACUGAUUGUUUUACCAAUGUGCUGGUUAGAAAGACACUUAGUUACUUGAUUUUUUCAUG
rnacentral:lncRNA from 1 species